AAGCUGAUAUUUUGCAUACAUUUGAUAAAAGCGUUUUAAGCAACGAGUAAUAGCCAAGUCUCACUCAUGAGUUACAACCGGGGCAAAUUUACAGCGCUCGAAUGAAAAAGAGACCUAAUUAUUUAUUGAUAAUUUCGCACUUUCCAUGUCGUCAGCAAUUUCCGCCUGCGAUUUUCCGUCGUGCGGAAUUCUUGCAGUUGCCAUAGAUUUGGAGUCAGCAACCAUUAAAGUGUAGGCUGGAUUGAAUGGUUACUAUUUUAUUCCAUAAAAGGAGUGAAUCAAUGGCUCAAUGUAGCUUUGUUCUGUAUUUUUUUUUUUUAAAAAUUAGCUUAUUUUCCCCCUUCCGUUCUACCUGGCCCUCUGGAAAGAAGAUGCCCCACUUGCUCCCGGGGUUACUACCAGCUGCUGAGAGUUGCAAAAGAACAGCACAUAGUGGCCCCACCUACGGAUUGCAUUACUUCCCUCCCCGCCUCAGCUCAGCUCUCGCUGGUUAAAAAGUAGGACUAAAGGCCGAGUUCUCUUAAAUCGGACCGAUAGUGCUUCUCCGUCGCUUUGGCUUUCCUCUGCCGAAAACUAACACCCAGUCCCGUCCAACAAGCGUUUAUGAUCCAGAGGCCAUCCUACAACAGUUAUGAAUUCUCUCUACUGUAUUCAAUGAGAUUUGAGCCUGAUAGAAAUACAAAUAGAAUGGAGCCUUAGAACGUACAAACGAUGAAUUUAUGUGAUUUCUUCAACAGCUCCUGACACGGCCUUUUACCUCUAUCACAUCGUUUCGAAUGGAAACACAAAUGUUAAAGAGAUAAAUGUGCAACUUCCAACUUUGUUGGGUUGGUGACAGUGUUGUAGUUGUACAAGCCAGAACCUCACACGCCAUUUCUUUCUCAUGACCAGAUCUGCAUGAUUUGGCAGCCGCCUCAGGAACUCUCAAAUCCACAGGCCAGAUCUCCAGCAUCCACAGUUCUUAUUUUUAUGAAGAGCUACAACCUGUACAGAUCUAAAAAUGAAACAAAACAACAUCCACUCACUCAUGAACAACAAAUGACAUAGAGACUGCCUUCAAAGCACUUACGUUGUGAUUUGAGAUUCCAUGAAGACAAGGAUAAAAACUAACAUGGCUGGAAGAGCUGCA